AUUGAACGCUGGCGGCACGCCUAACACAUGCAAGUCGAGCGGCAGCGAGAGUAGUAGCAAUACUACUUGUCGGAGAGCGGCGGACGGGUGAGGAACACGUAGGGACCUGCCGUAGAGAGGGGGACAACCAAGGGAAACUUUGGCUAAUACCGCAUAAUCUCGCGAGAGAACAGCUGCGCGCAAGGGUGGCGCGUUAACAGGGGACUGCGUCCGAUUAGCUAGUUGGUGAGGUAACGGCUCACCAAGGCGAUGAUCGGUAACUGGUCUGAGAGGACGACCAGUCACACUGGGACUGAGACACGGCCCAGACUCCUACGGGAGGCAGCAGUGGGGAAUAUUGGACAAUGGGGGCAACCCUGAUCCAGCAAUACCGCGUGUGUGAAGAAGGCCUGAGGGUUGUAAAGCACUUUCAGUGGGGAGGAGGAUUGAUUGGUUAAGAGCUGAUUGAUUGGACGUUACCCACAGAAGAAGCACCGGCUAACUCCGUGCCAGCCGCCGCGGUAA
rnacentral:rRNA from 1 species